rnacentral:lncRNA from 1 species
GGGCUGGGUCUGCACAAGGAGUUCCACGAUAAAGCGGUGCCUUUCCCGUGGCCCUUCAGCAGGUUUAAACAAAACAAAACCAAAAAAAAAAAAAAAAGGAGGCAGGAUGUCAAGGGAGGCUCAGGUCUGUGGCUUCUCGAAGGAGGAUGCUCAAGCCGGACCUACCCGUUCCCGGAGACCGUGGGACGGGGAGGCGUGUGCCUAGUGGCGAGGGGCCUCAGUCCUCAGGGCACUGGGGGUAGAUGGGGAAGGAAGCUGGACAUGAAUCAGCAGCAGGGCCUCAUGCUGGCACUGGAGCCCAGGCUGUCCAACCCAGCCUGACCCACACCCUUUCUGUGACUAUACAUGGGUUUGCUCGGAGAGGUUCGCUUGCCCUUGGAUCGCCCCGCGGGCGACUCUGCAUACUCGAUAAAGCCGAAGCCCGUGAUGGCUGUCCUGCCCAUAAAUCAUCAAGAUCUCUGGCGUUUUCAAACGCGGAUUAUGGCCCCUAAAGUCAAUUAGCAGAUUAAAAUAGCUCUUUUCUCUGCCCCUCCUAAACUGAUUUGUGUAUAUGUAUAAAACAGGAGAGACAGAGCGGGGAGGGAUAGAGCCGGGGAGGAGCUGGGUGGUGUGGAUGACAAGAGAGGGUAGGGAUGAAGGCAGGGAUCCCUCUGGGCCUCUAAGGUGGCCCUGACGUCACUCUUACCAAGUUCUGGGAUUCUAGGCCUGGGCCAGUGUGCUGAACAUUUCUGAAUCUUCCAUUGUCCUCCCCACCGCCUUAGCAGCUGUCUCUCCUUUUAAGAACAUUGUUCCCUUUUGUUCCCUUUCUUUGGUGGCUCUGAAGAUGGGCCAGUCUUUCCUGGGAUGAUUAUCCCCCAGAGGUUAUGUGACCUUUAGGAACUUCCUCCAGGUUUGACCCUGUCCCCUCCAGCUUCUGUGUGGGGACUCCACACCUUACGUGUCUGGUUUUUCAGAGCACAGGUGUACCCAAGUGCCUGGCACACUGUACGUGUAGUAGUCAUGCAUUAGGUAUUUGAGCCCACCCCCAGAUGAAUGGUCAUGUCCCUGAAGAAGUGGACAGUUUAGAGCUGGGGUCUCCCCCCUCCUCCACUGCAGCCUAGAUACAAUCAUCAGGCCGACUCCAGGCCUCUUCACUAUGUGCCAGAGCUUAGUAGCUCACCCUCUUUCCUGCGGGUGCCCUGGCCCAGACCUGAGAUGGCAUCUCCAAGAAUAACAGCUUCCUACCUCCAGGAAGAAGGGCCAGCCAGCAACCAAAUAAACACAAGUUUUAUGAGGUGAUUAAUAUAAGAACAGAUAAAACUCCUAUCCUAGUCUCCUGUGGUCUCCUUGUUUCUCUUAGAACUGUUAACUUGGUGUGGAACACAGGCCUGUAAUCUCAGCACUUAGGAAGCUGAGGCAGGAGUAUUGUGAGUUCAAGACCAGCCUGGACUACAUGUCCAGCUGCACUGGAAAGAGCAUCUAUGAUCUUGCAAAAGGCUGGUGAGCCCAGACUCCACUCUCAAGGUCUCUUGGCUAUCAUGCCAAGAUAUCAUGCCAAGAGAGCCUGGGCUCUCUGCAGAGGAGAGAGAUGGAGAGGAGAAUUGAAAACCCAGCUGCUGACCUGGAGGGCUUUUAAAGGGUCAUGCCAUAUCACAGGUGCCAAGUGGCCUAACUCUGAUUCUGCAAUUAAGUGUGACCCAGAAUGCACAACUGUAGAACGCCACCAGCAAUAAUCCCGGAGGACUUCUGUGGGAAAAGAAGCUCAGGUUAAAAGAGUGGAAUCGUAGAAGAACAAUUUAGUCGUAAAUGGGUUAUACUGGCACAGAGUGGGGAACCAACCAACAGGGGAGCCCAUCCCGGGAGAGGUGUGAAGAAAGGCAGCAGGCUACCUGUGACCAUGAGGACUGUGUACAACUGGACACAUGGAAAGAGCUUUGUUUUAAGUGGCCCUGUGGUCCCUAUGCUACCUGGAUAUUUAAUAGAAACUGUGGCUGACAGUGGAGGAGGGCCAAACACACACUGAGGGGGAAUGUAGAUUCCCCCAGCCAGUCUGGAUAUGAGGUUGGUGCAAGCAGACCUGGUGCCACGUUGGAAUGGCAGUGGCCAAUGCGAGAGGGCUGGAAGUGUGGGCUUACAAGAGUUCAACCCCUCCUGCUUCUCUCCCUGAAGCCUAUGUCCAGGCCUGGACGGAGGCUCAGGUGGCAUGGCAUUGGACCAGAUCCUCAGGGACUGCUUACCCAGGGCAGUGGUCCAGCUUACAGUCCUGUACCGAGAGACUCCACAGCCUCUGGAGACGAGGCCCAGGGGCUGCAUUGUGUCCCAGGUGUGCUGUCCACAGCUGAGGGCCGCACCGCCAUCUCGGGGAAACUGCUGCUUCCCUGGCUAAACCAAUGUUUAUGUCCAGCCUUAGCUGCUGGGUUCAAGAGGCUAAUUGUAGUUUAAGGAGCUUGUGCCAGUUUGGGGAUGGGGCAGACCACUGGAGAUGCUAAUGAGGGUCUCUCUCUCUCUCUCUCUCUCUCUCUCUGACUCUCUAACAACUCUUUCCUUUUC